rnacentral:tRNA from 1 species
CACUGUGAAGCUAAUAUAGCAUUAACCUUUUAAGUUAAAGACUGAGAAAUAAACUCUCCGCAGUGA